rnacentral:tRNA from 1 species
CAGGGUGUAGCGCAGACUGGUAGCGCACCUGCCUUGGGAGCAGGAGGUCGUGGGUUCAAAUCCCACCACCCUGACCA